rnacentral:rRNA from 1 species
GGGAGGGUCAUUGGAAACUGGGGAACUUGAGUGCAGAAGAGGAGAGUGGAAUUCCACGUGUAGCGGUGAAAUGCGAUAGAGAUGUGGAGGAACACCAGUGGCGAAGGCGACUCUCUGGUCUGUAACUGACGCUGAGGAGCGAAAGCGUGGGGAGCGAACAGGAUUAGAUACCCUGGUAGUCCACGCCGUAAACGAUGAGUGCUAAGUGUUAGGGGGUUUCCGCCCCUUAGUGCUGCAGCUAACGCAUUAAGCACUCCGCCUGGGGAGUACGGUCGCAAGACUGAAACUCAAAGGAAUUGACGGGGGCCCGCACAAGCGGUGGAGCAUGUGGUUUAAUUCGAAGCAACGCGAAGAACCUUACCAGGUCUUGACAUCCUCUGACAAUCCUAGAGAUAGGACGUCCCCUUCGGGGGCAGAGUGACAGGUGGUGCAUGGUUGUCGUCAGCUCGUGUCGUGAGAUGUUGGGUUAAGUCCCGCAACGAGCGCAACCCUUGAUCUUAGUUGCCAGCAUUCAGUUGGGCACUCUAAGGUGACUGCCGGUGACAAACCGGAGGAAGGUGGGGAUGACGUCAAAUCAUCAUGCCCCUUAUGACCUGGGCUACACACGUGCUACAAUGGACAGAACAAAGGGCAGCGAAACCGCGAGGUUAAGCCAAUCCCACAAAUCUGUUCUCAGUUCGGAUCGCAGUCUGCAACUCGACUGCGUGAAGCUGGAAUCGCUAGUAAUCGCGGAUCAGCAUGCCGCGGGU